rnacentral:rRNA from 1 species
UACGUAGGUGGCAAGCGUUGUCCGGAAUUAUUGGGCGUAAAGCGCGCGCAGGUGGUUUCUUAAGUCUGAUGUGAAAGCCCACGGCUCAACCGUGGAGGGUCAUUGGAAACUGGGGAACUUGAGUGCAGAAGAGGAAAGUGGAAUUCCAGGUGUAGCGGUGAAAUGCGUAGAUAUCUGGAGGAACACCGGUGGCGAAGGCGGCAUCCUGGACCGGUAUUGACACUGAGGCGCGAAAGCCAGGGGAGCAAACGGG